rnacentral:lncRNA from 1 species
CCUCUUCUCCAGUUAAAACCUCUUUUGCCCUCAUAGCUGCUGGAGCCAAUAUUGGUUACCAAAGAGGAGGAGAAUUCUGAGGAUCCAGCUCCAAGAACACCCUGCUGGAUUGCUUUCUCACUAAAUUUGAAAUUGGCUCUUUUCCUGAGCAGGAAGAGGAAUAGAGAGUCAAAUUCUCCAGCGGGAAAGAAGGGACUAACUGACACAGCCCAUAUUGGACCUUGACCAGAGUCCCACUGGAGAAAAUGACUGCCCAUCUCCUUGAAAGGGAAGAGGCGCUCCCCCGGGAUUUCCUGGGUUCCCUUUCUAGGAUGUGGAGACCAGCUCACUGGUAGCAGAACAGAAAGAAGACCCGAACCAGCGCCACAAAUCAUAUAUAAGUAGAAAGUGCAGAGGGCAGCUUGUCCCACUCGGUGACCGAUCCAGCUCAACGGCAACCUGCCAGACGAGAUCUUGGACGAGACCUUGGUCAAGACAUCGGACGCCUGCCCAGCGUGUACCCCCAGAUCGAGGAGGAAGAAACCGGAUCGAACACCGUAGUCAUCAGAAAGGAGAAACAGAGUCGCGCUCCUAGGACUUGUGCAGGU